UGUGGAGAUAAAUAAGAAACAGAGGGAAAAAAAUCCUUUCUAUUUCAGAAAGUUUAAGUGCUGGAACAAAAUAAAGCGGUGUAAACAGGGAGAGAACAAAGGCAGGGUGGCAGGUGUGCUGUUUUACAGAGGAGGUGGGGAGGGGUGGAUGGAUCCGGUGCAGACACCUGAGUCCGGGGAAGAGCUGGGGGAGGGGCUUCAUGGGUAGAAGGUGAGCAGGUGCGAGUCCUGAGCCCAGAGUGAGCCUGGAGGCAUGAGGGAGCAAGCAGCCGAGUCGGCUGCACAGGGAAGGUGAUAGAAAGCUCAGAGAAGAGCAGGCCCAGCCCUCACAUUUCAGGAUGGGGCUAGAGUCCAAAUGAAGGUUCCAGAUCACAUGCCUAAAAUUAAAAAGUUCUAAAUCAAGCUGCAGUCACGGCCUGGCCAGCAUCCCUACCUCACGACCUGGAGGUUGAAGGGGGCUUUUCUCUUUGGCCAGGCUUGGGGCCUCUGAGCCUGGUUGAGAGCACUGAUGAGUUGAGGCUGGGCAGAGGGGAACCUGGGGUGGUACUCAGGAUGCCUGGAUGGUCACUAGACCCAGUUGAAUCCAAGCAAGAACCUGACCUGGUCCAUCUCCGCAGAGAGCCGGAAUAGGGUAGGUUUUCCUCGCCAUGCCAAAUUUUUCUGACUUGGGAUUUCUAGGCUGCUUGAAAAGCCUUCCACUUACCUCAUCCCAGAGGAGGCAGCUCUGGUCUCUGGAGUACCUGGCGUCUUGGAUGACUUGGGAGACCUUCAGCUUUAAACACAGAUCUAUGGAUAUAAGUUAUGGAUGAGAACUGAAAUAGAGAGUAAGACUGAAAAUGAUACACACAUCAACUUUUGUAUGAAGACAAGAACAAACGAUAGACUUUUUCCCCCCCAAAGAGAACACUGUUUCACUCUGAGGAGAAAAUUUCAUUGUCAUCGUGAUCUGAUCCUGAGGGUCUUGAAUGUGGAAAUAGUACUGCAAGGAAGGCUUGUCACUCCUCCCUAAUGUAUGGAACAUGAAGGCUAGAGGCCAGAAUCAUGCUUGUUCACGAUUAUGAAGCCCUGCAGAUAAAGGAGCCACGAGAUGGAAGAAAUCUACAUUCCUGAAUCACUCCAUUAAGAGCUGCCAGAUAAAAAUCCAUAUUAAGUUAUAGAUCUACAUUGUUAGUUCAGGAACCAGAAGCAUCAGCCUCACCUGGUAACUCACUAAGAAUGAAAAUCUGAGGCCCCGUAUCAGACCUCCUGAAUUAGAAGACCUAAAAUAGGAUGUUGGCAAUCUGUGUAAGGUCCAAGAAACAGGAGAUUCUACAUCAGCAGUGCUAGACAGAUAGGGAAGUUCCUUGAAGAUCACUGAAUACUCACUGACAGUGUUUGCUUGAAAUAUGACUGGCACAGUGUUAGGAAGGCUGGCUUAA